UACGUAGGUGGCAAGCGUUGUCCGGAUUUACUGGGCGUAAAGAGCUUGUAGGCGGUUUGUCGCGUCUGCUGUGAAAAUCCGGGGCUCAACCCCGGACUUGCAGUGGGUACGGGCAGACUAGAGUGUGGUAGGGGAGACUGGAAUUCCUGGUGUAGCGGUGAAAUGCGCAGAUAUCAGGAGGAACACCGAUGGCGAAGGCAGGUCUCUGGGCCACUACUGACGCUGAGAAGCGAAAGCAUGGGGAGCGAACAGG
rnacentral:rRNA from 1 species